CACCUUGCUCCCUGCCCUCCUGUAGUACUACAGUGUGCUCAGCCUGUAGCAAAGUGCUGUGAGGAAAGGCUGAGUUUCCCCUUGUUCAGCACUGUUGCUAAGAUGGUUUCUGCCAGCCCGAGGAUCCCACCCUCUUCCAGAGACACAGGUCCUGACCAUCUGCUCAGAGAGAAGGUCCAUACAGCCACACAGAACUCCCCAGACCUCAUGGGACUCUGCACCAGUGGGAUUCUGCAGACAUAUAUUUGCAGUAUCACAGUCAGCAACAGCACAAGCUUGCACUGAUGAAUAAAGCCCAUCAAGAAAUACUGCUUCCAGUAAUGCAAGAGUGUUCCUGUGAGCAUUUAAAGCCACAACUCAAAACCUUCUAAAUGUUACCUACACACCUUCUACCACAGAAAUGCACAGGUUAGAACUUGUAACUGGCUGGGGACUUGAGUCUGUCUGUCUUCAUAUCACCAGAGUCCAAAACCACUCUACUUCCUAUGCCCAAAGGAAAAGUAACAUCUGUUGUGACAGAUUUAUGCAUAUGCUCACCCUUGCUUCAGAGUAAAGAUCUGCAGUGACACUGACUUGCAAAAUGCAGUGAAGACACAGGUAGAGCACAGAAUCUGUCUUGUCACAGAUAAGAAGCCUUUUCCACAAAGAAGUCUUUCACAGAACUGGAGAUGGACCUAAAGCAAACUGGAUCUCAAAUGACCUGACACCUAUCUGCCUAACAACAGGAAACUGAAGUAAGUGUCAUUACUGUUCUUUGAUCAGGUUAAAAUGGAUCAAUGACUACAGCUGGUAGGUCCUGCGUUGCUAUCAAGAUUUAUUUUUCAGGUGUUUCACUGUAGCUCUGCAUUCAAUGGAACCGUGGUAUUCCUUCACUAAAUGCCAUCUCUGUUUUCCUACAGCCAAAAGGGGUGAGAAUGGAGAAGUGAAAGGCAGCAUUCUGACUCUGAAAGAGUUCCCCAGAAUCCUGAUGUGGAGUACAGUGAGCGUUGCUUGUCUGAAAUCAGAGCAGCUUUUCAUGUCAGAAAGCCAGACAGAUUUAGAUUUUCAGCAUCUGAGACUGAAAUACAUACAAAAUUCAAUUCUAGUGUCUUGGUGAUCUUGCUGAUCACCAAAUGCUGAUAUAUGGGCAGAUUCACCACCUCAGUACAAAUUCUAUUUCUGUUAUUUUUUGUGCUAAAUAGUAUUAUUACGGGACAGAAUCAAAAUUUGGACUGAGUUGCAGCAGUGUGAUCCAUUGGCAGUGCUGUGCCAACAGCAGAGGAAUGGGCAACUCUGUCAUCUCACACAAACGAUGAACAGAUCCGAUAAGCCCCUGUUUUAGUAUGCUUUGGCAAUGUUACACAAUCCCUGAAGAUAUUCAAGGCCAGGCUUGAUGGGUUCCUGGGCAGCCUAAUCGAGUGGUUGGCAACCCUGCCCCCAGCAGGAGAGUUGGAACCAGAUCAUCUUUUGAGGUCCCUUCCAACCCAAGCCAUUCUAGGAUUCUAUGGUAUUGUGAAAGCUGGUUGUAUUAAUAUGAGCUUACUUAUAUCU